rnacentral:rRNA from 1 species
CCAGCAGCUGCGGUAAUUCCAGCUCCAAUAGCGUAUAUUAAAGUUGUUGCAGUUAAAACGCUCGUAGUCUGAUGUAAUGGGGAUUGGAGUGGGGAGCAGCGAUGCUUUUUGCUUUGGUCCUCAUCAACGGGACAGCAAUGUCCCAUUUUACUUUGAGGAAAUUAGAGUGUUCAAAGCAGGCGAUUGCUUGAAUACUGCAGCAUGGAAUAAUGGAAUAGGACUCGCGUCUUAUUUUGUUGGUUUGGAGAUGUGAGUAAUGAUGAAUAGGGACAGUUGGGGGCAUUGGUAUUCAGUAGUCAGAGGUGAAAUUCUUGGAUUUACUGAAGACUAACGUAUGCGAAAGCAUUUGCCAAGGAUGUUUUCAUUGAUCAAGAACGAAAAU